UGCAUGUAUACCGCCUGGCUUUUCUAUGCGCAGGAAUGUAACCACUAAGAAGAGUUGUAAACAAAGUAAGGAGAGAAAUAAAAACCCCAGGAAAGUUUUCCUGGGAGGCUUUUUGCUUGAGGCUUUUAGAGCUCUCUGGCUACCACAAACCUGGUGUUCUAUUUCCUUUCCUGUGUCGUCCCCACAGCUGGUGACCCCGACGUGAUACCCCUCUACUCACCGGCUGGAUACGCCGAGCGCGCCCCGCAGCUGUUUGCCGCCCCUUAUUCGUAGAGAAGUGCUACCCAAAGAUCCUAGCACCCCCGCCAUUAAUUAAAACCAGGAGACUGAGUCUAUGUAAAGUCCAUCAACGAAAGACUGCUUUGGCUCCAUGCUGGAAAGGCCCUUUCCAAGUCCUGUUAGCCACCAACACCGCUGUGAAGUGCCAAGGACUGACUGCCUGGACCCAUGCUUUUCACUGUAAAAAGACCCCUCCACCUCGGGAGGACUCUCUGACUGAUGAUUAGCCUGUUUCUUCUUCUAGCUCUGCUGUGCCUUCUGGACGGCAGGAAAAAG